GUGGAAAGGCCUAAGAUUUCUGUAAAAGCAGGGGUCAGUGAAUUAAAAUUCUCCCAGGAGCGAAGGGCCUCUGAAUGCUUAUUUCUGAUAAUCUUAUUUAUGUCCCGGGCCAUGCUCCCACCACACCCCCACUCCAAAGGCUUCUCUUGUGUUGCCUGUGCCCUGACUGACCCUACCCACCCUUGGGGAUUGGAGGUGAGAUUGGUGUGGAGUCCACAACACAGAUUCUAGGAGUAGGUGAGAAACCCCCGUGGCAAGAUCACUUGAGCUCUGCUAACAGUCCUAUGGAUGAGGAGAGACACACACACACCCAUCUACAGACCCACUUUACAAAUGGAGUGACAGGCUGAGAUGAGCUAGUGAGCAGAAAGCCAAUCCUGAGGAGACCAAACAUGCAGCCAGCGACUCAGACAUUUGUGGGAAUUGGAAAAACACUGCACCUGCCCUACUGGAGACGUGGGUGUUAGAUUUGGUUUUAGGUACACAUUCCACGUGUUGUGUAUGAAUGACUGCACUCCCCAAGGACCCACCGGGAGCAUGGGACAGGGAGGACAGGAAAGAAUCUCCGAUGAU